CCUACGGGAGGCAGCAGUGGGGAAUAUUGGGCAAUGGGCGCAAGCCUGACCCAGCAACGCCGCGUGAAGGAAGAAGGCUUUCGGGUUGUAAACUUCUUUUCUCAGGGACGAAGCAAGUGACGGUACCUGAGGAAUAAGCCACGGCUAACUACGUGCCAGCAGCCGCGGUAAUACGUAGGUGGCAAUCGUUAGCCGGAUUUACGGGGUGUAAAGGGAGUGUAGGCGGGAAAGGAAGUCAGAGGUGAAAACCAUGGGCUCAACCUGUAGCGUGCAGUUGAAACUGUUUGUCUUGAGUACUGGAGAGGCAGACGGAAUGCCUAGUGUAGCGGUGAAAUGCGUAGAUAUUAGGAGGAACACCAGUGGCGAAGGCGGUCUGCUGGACAGCAACUGACGCUGAGGCGCGAAAGCGUGGGGAGCAAACAGGAUUAGAUACCCGGGUAGUC
rnacentral:rRNA from 1 species